rnacentral:rRNA from 1 species
GAUGAACGCUAGCUACAGGCUUAACACAUGCAAGUCGAGGGGCAUCAGUUUGGUUUGCUUGCAAACCAAAGCUGGCGACCGGCGCACGGGUGAGUAACACGUAUCCAACCUGCCUCAUACUCGGGGAUAGCCUUUCGAAAGAAAGAUUAAUAUCCGAUAGCAUAUAUUUCCCGCAUGGGUUUUAUAUUAAAGAAAUUUGGUAUGAGAUGGGGAUGCGUUCCAUUAGUUUGUUGGCGGGGUAACGGCCCACCAAGACUACGAUGGAUAGGGGUUCUGAGAGGAAGGUCCCCCACAUUGGAACUGAGACACGGUCCAAACUCCUACGGGAGGCAGCAGUGAGGAAUAUUGGUCAAUGGACGCGAGUCUGAACCAGCCAAGUAGCGUGAAGGAUGACUGCCCUAUGGGUUGUAAACUUCUUUUAUAUGGGAAUAAAGUGGUCCAACGUGUGGAUUUUUGGUAUGUACCAUAUGAAUAAGGAUCGGCUAACUCCGUG